GCGCCGGGAUGCGCUCUCCUCUUCUCAUUUGCCAAUUUAUUGCAGAUCCCUCCUCAAAAAAGUUUUGGGACUAACUCAGCCCCAUGGAGAUCAAGGUGAAUUAGAAAAACAACAAAACAAAACAAGAUUCAUUUUAACAUCUCAUUUUUCUAUCUCCAACUUUCCCUCCCCUCCUCCCACCCCAGGAAGAAAAGACUACGUUUGUUUCUGGUGAUACAUUCAUUGUAGGUGGGUGGGUGACUUCUAGAAGAGGAAAAUCAAGAAGAUUUGGAGAAGGAGUCUUGGAAGCUCUGGUGAAGUUUUCCAAAACUGGGAAGGACAGAGUCUGCUCAGCCUGUGUUAGUGGAGAAGAGGGAAGGAAACUGGCUGGAGGCCGCUGGACCCACAGAGGACAAUAGACAAUCUCCUGCUGAUGCCCACUGGAUCCAAAGAGAGAAACUCUAUAGAAUUAUGAUCUAGGUUUGACUGACUCCUGGCAAGAAGCCCUACCCGCCAGCCAAUUUGGAUGAGCUCUUAUGCUCCAGAUCCAUCAUGAGAAGAACAUGCCCUGGAUUCCUGCUAUCCCUUUAGCCAUGGCUCCAAAAUUAACACACACAAGGAAGACCUGAGGUCAAUCCACAGCCUGGAUUCAAGUCACCUAAUACAUAGGAGAAUCAGAGCUACCCAGCCACACUCAAUCUACGUUAACUGAACCUCAGCUGACCUGCAGAUUUAUGAGUAUGAGA
rnacentral:lncRNA from 1 species